rnacentral:rRNA from 1 species
ACCUGACUAAAUACCCUAAAGGCACCAGAUUCUGUCCGAUCUUGGAAGCUAAAUAGGGUCAGCCUUGGUUAGUACUUGGAUGGGAGACCACCAACGAAUACCAGUUGCUAUAGGUU